ACUGGGGGGCCUAUUUUGUCUUCAUUUUUAAUUUUAAUAAUAAAUAGUAUAACACAUUGCCGUUUAAUAGUCGUGUUAUACACAUACAUACGUAUUUUUCCACAAUACUUCCAUUUUUCGUACACAAGGAAAACGUACAAUACACGCACGUGCGGAUUUUUCAUGUUUAAUACACGUGUUUUUACAAAAUUGUCAACAAUACACACAAAAUUCACGUAUUAUACACACAAUUUUACAUACUGUUGAAUAAAAAUAAUAUAUAUCGAAAAAUUAUAGGGAUCUUCACUAAUAUACCCAAAAUAGGAGCUGAAAUUAUAAAAAAAACCCCACAUGGAAAACACUUCAUAAACACACCCAAAAUCCAUUUAUUAAAUAACAAAUUAGUGUUGAAGUUCCAAUAAAUUACAGCACUGCCACUAUCAAGCCCAACAGAAAAAAACUCAAAAAACACCCAAAACAAACCCAGCCCAAAUUUAUAAACAAGCCCAAACAUUGUACCUGGUAUUCCAUAACUUUCGGCCCAAAAAAAAAAAGUAAACCGUAAAAGUAAACAAACAGUAACUUAACUGCCAGCACGCGCGCCUUCAUUUAAGCCAUCUCUGCAAAACGUCUCUUCACUCUUCGUCUUCAUCAAAUCGUCUGCAAAACCGAGACUCCAUAAUCACCACGAAGCUUCAUCUACUUUCAAAACGAACACCAGACACUGACCUCCACCUUCAGAACCAAGACAAAAUUUCAGAGAACGAUUUCGACAAGAAAACGCUUCAAAGGUAAGACAUUUACUGUAAUAUUGAUUAUUUGCUAUAAAGAUCCAGUCUAGGGUAAUAACAGUAUUUUAAAUUCGAAUGAAGGACAAAAUCUUGAAACUAUAUAGGAUUCACUACUGGAAUAAAUGCAUAGGACCAUUAUUCUAGUCACUAAUCUCGGAUCGAUAACCCUGAUUGUACACUAUGAAAUCCUAUUUCUAACGCAUGUCUGCCACUGUAAAUAAAGUUCCAGUAUAGGGUAAUAACGCUACUCGUUUCCUACGAAAUCCCCUUUGAAAUGCUUGCCUAACACUGUAAAUUUCCAGUAUAUGGUAAUAAUACUGAUUGUACACUGAAAUCCUAUUUCUAACGCAUGUCUGCCACUGUAAAUAAAGUUCCAAUAUAGGGUAAUAACACUACUAGUUCUCUUUGAAAUCCUAUUUCUUGUGCUUUUCUACCACUGUCAAGUUCCAGUAUAUGGUAAUAAUACUGAUUGUUCCCUAGGAAAUCCUAUUUCUAACGCAUGUCUGCCACUGUAAAUAAAGUUCCAAUAUAGGGUAAUAACACUACUAGUUCUCUUUGAAAUCCUAUUUCUUGUGCUUUUCUACCACUGUCAAGUUCCAGUAUAUGGUAAUAAUACUGAUUGUUCCCUAGGAAAUCCUAUUUCUAACGCAUGUCUGCCACUGUAAAUAAAGUUCCAAUAUAGGGUAAUAACACUACUAGUUCUCUUUGAAAUCCUAUUUCUUGUGCUUUUCUACCACUGUCAAGUUCCAGUAUAUGGUAAUAAUACUGAUUGUUCCCUAGGAAAUCCUAUUUCUAACGCAUGUCUGCCACUGUAAAUAAAGUUCCAAUAUAGGGUAAUAACACUACUAGUUCUCUUUGAAAUCCUAUUUCUUGUGCAUUUCUACCACUGUCAAGUUCCAGUAUAUGGUAAUAAUACUGAUUGUUCCCUACAAAAUCCUAUUUCUAACGCAUGUCUGCCACUGCAAAGUUCCAAUAUAGGGUAAUAACACUACUAGUUCUCUUUGAAAUCCUAUUUCUUGUGCAUUUCUACCACUGUCAAGUUCCAGUAUAGGGUAUUAACAUCGAUACUUUACUGUCAUGUUCCUAUUUCUAAUGCAGGUAUACAAAUUAAAAGAUGAAGAAAAUACAAACCAGAAGAACCUCCAAACCAAAAGGACAACAGUCAUCAGCCAUAACAAAAACAAACAAGAAGCCAAGCAGAUGGGAGGACCCAAAUUAUGUCCAGAUCAAGAGCAACAUGCUCUCUUUUGCAACAACAAUUGACAACAUCAGACAAAGACUUGAACAACGGCACGAUGUCUUAACACUGCUAUCAAAGACACCUUUUUGGACAUUGAUAGAAGCAUAUAUCCAGAGAAGGUUAACGAAGGUAGAGUGCAUGAAGUCUAACUAUGACAUUGUGAGACUCAUACAAGUUUAUGACACGAAGACAAAGAAGUUCAGGUUUGAUGAUGGUGACAAUGAGAUCAAAAGCCAAUAUGUGUCUGAAAUUUUUGGCUUGCCAAACAGAGGCAAGAAGCUACCAAGCACAACAACCUCAACAAGGCCAAAUCUCCAUUUUGUAAAGAAGUACUUCUCGGGUUAUAAGAAGAUAACAAAGACUUCAAUUGAUAAGUGCUUGAACUUAGCACUUGAAGAUGAAACAGAAGAGGGGGCUAUGGAUACAACAAGAUUGAUAAUCCUACAACUCUUCAUGACCAAUCUCUUCUGCAACUCUGGUUGUACACUUGCUUGGACAUAUACAACCACAAUAGACACCUUAGAAGAGAUGGGGAAAUAUAAUUGGGCUCGAGGAGUUUUGGACUACAUGUAUUUUGGAUUAGAACAAGCAAAGAAGAACAAGAAAGACAAAAAGAAGCAGCCAAGCGUGAGUGGCUGCCUAAUCCUAAUACCGGUAAGAACACCAAUCUCCAAACUGCAAAUUCGUAGCAUUACUUUAAAUGAUAUGAAUUGACACAUGAUAUUGCAAUAAAAUAUUGUGCAGUAUUGGCUGUGUCAAAGAUCUAACCUGCUCACUCCAAUUCCUGGAAGAGAACAAAUGACACCAGCAGCUGUCAUAUGGAGUCUUCAAGAACUCAGCGCGAAGCUUCAUCAUCUAGAGAACAACCAGAUAAAGGUACUGUUAAUACCAUGUCAUAGACAUACAUUCUUAAUACCAUGUCAUAGACAUCCUAUUUCUUGUGCUUUUCUACCACUGUCAAGUUCCAGUAUAUGGUAAUAAUACUGAUUGUUCCCUAGGAAAUCCUAUUUCUAACGCAUGUCUGCCACUGCAAAGUUCCAAUAUAGGGUAAUAACACUACUAGUUCUCUUUGAAAUCCUAUUUCUUGUGCUUUUCUACCACUGUCAAGUUCCAGUCAUAGAAGUAAACUAUGAAUACCAUGUCACUCUUAAUGCUAACUCUACUCAACAAACAGAUAAAAAGCACUAAAGCUCAAGAGCCGGAUGAUGAUUCUGAAGAAGAGAAUGAAGAGGAGGAUGCUGCUGCUGAAGAAGUUAAUGAGGAGCAUGAUGAUGCUGCUGAAGAGGUGAAUGAAGAGCAUGGUGAUGCUGAUGAAGAAGAAAAUGAAGAGGAGGAUGCUGAAAUGAAUGAAGAGCAUGAUGAUGCUGCUGAACAUCAAGUCCAGCAACACCACCAGCUACAAGAAGACCACCAGCAACACCACCAGCAAUACCGGAAUUCAACGUUAUUUGAGGAAAAUGUUGGAUCUGUCCUGGGAUACAAGGAGGAUGAAAUACAACUUACAAAAGAGUACAUGAUUGCGAUCAACAAUGCUGCUGAAUAUUGGACAAAGAAAGGAGAGCAUCAAAAGAUCCAUGAUGCAAUAGCAUCCUGCAUAAAAAAGAAUAAAUUGAUUCAGAUGCUGUACAAUGAAAAAGAAGAAUUAAGGAAGCAUCAGCAGCAACUGCAGAAGAUGGUUAAGGAAGCAGCAUAUCACAAGAAUGCCAUACAACUUGAUAUGUAUGAGGAAAAAUCCUACAUGACAAAGCUGCAGCUAGAAAAUGAUCAACUUCUUGCGGAGAAGAUUUUCUACUUGGAAAUUAUUAAUGGAAAGGAAGCUGUUAUUGCCCUAUUGAGGGAUCAAAAAUUAGCGCAAGAACUGCAGAGUGAAGAAGAUAAAGUAGAAGAGAAAGAAGGUGAAGCAGAAAAGAUAAAAUCAAGAAAACCAGAUUCCUCAUUCCCUGAAGCAGAGACAAGAGCACAAAAGAGAAAGCCUGCAAAAAAAACCUCAAGAACCAGCCAAAUCAAAGAAGAGGGCCAAAGGUUCAUUCCUGCAAUGGAAUACAUAUCAGGUCUACAACAUGCUGGAUGAACUCUCACAAGAAAAGCUGAGAAAUUACUGGAAAAGUUCAAUUGAUAGGUAAGGCAAUGUGUUUCAUUCAUUUUCAAUGCAAGAUGCUAUUAUUGAACAUGCAUUAGAAAAUAGGAUUUCAUUGUGUUAUUACCCUAUACUGGAACUUUACAGGGGGUAGACAUGCAUUAGUUAUAGGAUUUCAGAGUAAUAUGGCAGUGUUAUUACCCUAUACUGGAACUUUACAGGGGGUAGACAUGCAUUAGUUAUAGGAUUUCAGAGUAAUAUGGCAGUGUUAUUACCCUAAACUGGAACUUUACAGUGGUUAGACAUGCAUUAGUUAUAGGAUUUCAGAGUAAAUUAGCAGUGUUAUUACCCUAUACUGGAACUUUACAGUGGUUAGACAUGCAUUAGUUAUAGGAUUUCAUAGGAUAUACAAUGGUAGGCAUGCAUUAGAUAUAGGAUUUCAUAGGAUACAAGCAGUGUUAUUACCCUAUACUGGAACUUUACAUGGUAGGCAUGCAUUAGGAAAAGGUUUUUUUAAGGAAACAAGCAGUAUUAUUACGCUAUACUGGAACUCUAUUGAACAGUUCUUUCAAUUUAUUGACAUUUUUUCUAACUACAAAUACUGUUACAGCACUGCUUUUUGGCAAGGGACAAGCAUUUUGUUCAAAGAUGACAUACAAAGCUUAUUAAGAGAUACUGAAAUUUAUGGACAAAUCAUAGAUGCGUAUGCCGAGAUACUUCAUGAUGAUGAAAAGAAGGAUCCUGCAAGACAACAGAAUGCAUACAUCACGUGCUACGCAUACGUAAAGAUCAUACCUAUCCCGUUACUUCUAGUAAAAAUCACAAAUUAUUCAUCUUCCUAUAUUUUUCACAUUCUCUCUAAUGCCGAAACUAUUAAUCUUGCAGAGGUAUCUCACAGGUAAAAUGCACCCAAGAGCAUUCGAUGAAUAUUUUGUCAAACUCCUUGAAUGCAUAGGGAAGACUUCAAAGGUGUUCAUACCAAUAACGGAUGGCGGACACCACACCCUGCUUGUCUUUGACACCAAUUCAUCGCAAUGGACGCACUACAACUCAUUGUGGGGGGAAACUGAGCAAACCGUUGAAUACUACAACAAAAAAGCAAUAAUUUUGGUAAGACAGACUCCUAAUAUGAACUGUUAAUACAAUGCAUGAACAAAACAUUUAAUCAGUGAAGCUAACAACAUACUUGCCUAAAAUGCAGGCAGACGCAUCAAAUGUCUUCCUCAAUAGUGUCAAGGAAUGUGCUCCAUCAAUUUUAGAAAAAAACAGCUUCACACUUCUUGAGUUCAAGAAGCCCGUCUACAAUGAAGAAUUCACCGACGAGAUUGCAAAACUUCUUCCGAACCUGAAAGUUACACCAGCAAUUGCUCAAACAAUACAAUAUCUGAUGAAACAUGAUCCCACAAAAUUCAACUUUAAGGAGGACAGGGAAUGCGCCCAACAACCCCAAAAGUCGUAAGUGUCACAAUAACACUUUUCUUCCCCCAAUUCAAAUUAAACUAUGAUUCACUAAAUGUUACAUAUACAUAUGUCUGAAUUUGCAGAAACGAUUGUGGAGUAUUUGUCAUGUACUACAUCCAGCAGUUGUCACAAGGAAAACAAAUUGAAGAAAGCUUGAGUACAGCGCAUGUGUGGGAAAUGAGAAAAGAAGUUUUAUUGAAGACAAUGGAAAGUGAAAAAAGUUGGUAUUUCACAAAAGGGAAUGAAGGAUGAAAGCAUGGAUUUCACAAAUUUUAGAACUAUAAAAUAGAAAAUGUCCGGCUUCUAACUUCCAAAUGUCAAAGUGUUAAUAUGUAGCUUCUAAACAAAAUCUUUUGCUGCUUCUUAACUUUCAAAUGUCUAAUAGUUACUGUGUAGUGAGAUUCAAAUGUAAAAAAUUGUUACUGUGUAGCUUCUUCUAAAUUUCAAACUGCGCAUUAACAAUGUUCAAAAUGCGUAUUAACAGUGACUUUCAAAAAGCCCAGCCCAACUUCAGAAAAUCAAGUUCAGAAACGAAAUAAAGCCCAAAACAAAUCAAGCAAAUAAACUAAAUAAACUAAAAAGUCUCAUAAAAAAAGAAGCCCAGAAAACUCAACAAGCCAAUAAAGCCCAAUUUAACUAAGCCCAUUGAAAGACAAAAAAAAUCUAAGCCCAGAUAAACAACAGUACACGCAGGCACCCAAAAGCCGAAAACCCACUCACCUCUAACCCCGAUCUCUGCGACACCAACUCCAAAAGCAGGCGAAAACCUCCAUAACCACCAGACAGGAGACAAACUCCAUUACGAGAAAGCCGGCGAAUCGAAGUUACAUUCUGCCAUAGCCACAAGUCUUCAAAAUCGACACUACAAAACCCAGGAAAAAAGCAACUGAGCACAAGGACAACCCAGCGAAAAAGGAAGAAAAUUUCAACCAUAAACAUCGACAUAAGGUACAAUCCCAAAAACCCAAACUCACUUUCUACUUUCAUCUUAAGAUUCUGCUAACUAAUGCAAGAGUACGACGUUUAAUACAGGUAACCAACGAAAGGGCCAACAAUGACAGAAACAAACACUCAAGAUGCAAAAAACACAGAAGACCAUCCCAAAUCAAACGAAGAAGCUUCAGAAAUGGCUGAAAAAGCAUCACAAUCAAACUCCCAGGUAUUACAAAAUCUCUUAACUUCAAAGUCCGAUAGAAAUGUUCUGAAAAAACGCAUGUUUUGACUGCGAUGUAUAUGUUUCACAACUGUUAAUAUUAUGUCAUAGAACUUGAACUGUUAAUACUAUGUCACAACUGUUAAUACUAGUGCACUGAGUGCACUUGAAGACCAACAUAUGUAACAUCCUUUCUUCUAGUGCAGUGCUUUGUUAAUCAAAAUCUGUGGUUGCUAUGCAUCUCUCUCUUCUAGUGCACUGCUUGCAGUGCACUAGAAGACCAAAAUAUAUAGCAUGCUAUGUGUCUUGCUCUUCUAGUGCACUGAGUGCACUUGAAGACCAACAUAUGUAGCAUCCUUUCUUCUAGUGCAGUGCUUUGUUAAUCAAAAUCUGUGGCUGCUAUGCAUCUCUCUCUUCUAGUGCACUGCUUGCAGUGCACUAGAAGACCAAAAUAUAUAGCAUGCUAUGUGUCUUGCUCUUCUAGUGCACUGAGUGCACUUGAAGACCAACAUAUGUAGCAUCCUUUGUUAAUCAAAACCUGGGACUUCUAUGCAUUUUGCUCUUCUAGUGCAACAUGCACUAGAAAUGCAUAUGAGGUUCAAAUGCAUAGAAGUAAAUGGUUAAUACCAUGUCAUAGAAGUAUUAAUACUUAUGUUUCAUCUUUCUUUUGUUAAGUUAAAAUUACAUAUUUGUUUCACUUUGCAGGUGAUCAUAUGAAAAAAGGUAACCGGGUUGAAAUUCAAAAAAAGAGCAUACAAAAGUAUCCCAAGCCAGAAAAAGCGCAAAAAAAAAUCAACAAACACACAAGGCACACCACUAACAACAGCAAAAGCCAAACCAAGCAGACGCAAUAACCCAAAUUAUGUGCAGAUCAAGAGCAACAUGCUCACAUUUGACAACACAUUGCAAACGGUAAAAGACAAGCUUGCAGCAAGAAAGGAUGUCCUCAAGAUCCUACAAAAAACGCCAUUCUGGAGCAUCAUCAAGGCUUACAUGGAAGGUCAGCUCACCAAGGUAGAAUGCCAGAAGUCUAAUUAUCAAAUAAUUAGACUAAUCAGGUUCUACAACCCCGAAACCAAAAAAUUCAAAUUCAGUGAAGGCAACGAGUAUGAAAUUACAAGCAAUGAUGUGUCUGAAAUCUUUGGAUUGCCUAACAAAGGAAACAAGUUGCCAAGCACAACAACUUCCACAAGAACAAAUUUGGGCUUUGAAAAGAAGUACUUCAAGAAUUCAAAAAAAAUCACAAAAACUGAGGUUGAUAGGUGCCUGAACACAGCAAUAGCAGAUGACAGAAAGAACAAUGCAAUGGAUGUUGUGAGGUUGUUAAUCCUAGAGCUCCUCAUCACAAAUCUCUUUUGCAACUCGGGGGCGACAAUGGCUUGGACCUUUUUGACUAUGAUUGACACCUUAGAAGCAAUGAACAGCUACAACUGGGCACAAGGAGUCUUAGAUUACAUGCAUUUUGGACUGGACCAAGCCAUGAAAAAUAAAAAGCACAAGACAAAUCAACCAAGUGUCAGUGGUUGCCUUGUGCUAAUCCUGGUAAGAAACUACAUCCAUUUGUUAAUCCUAUUAUAUUAUUUGUUUUCACGUGCAUUAACACUUUAUAUUGAAAAACAUGUUUGCAGUAUUGGCUGUGUGAAAGAACUAACCUGAUCAGUCCAAUUCCUGGAAGAGAAGAUCAUAAACCAGCGGCUGUCAAAUGGAGCCUUCCGGAGCUCAAUAUCAAGCUGAAUAUUGCAAAAUAUGAAAACAUUAAGGCAUUUUUCUUACUUCCGUAAACAUAUAUAAUGUUAGUACACCAUAAUUACUACUGACUCCAAUAAUUCAACAGAUAAAAGCUGCAGACAAUGAAAAAGAAGAAGAAGCAACGACUGAUCACGCAGACCAUGAAGAACAAGAAGAAAAUGAAGAGGAUGAUGACUUUGUUAUCACACUUAAAGAUUGGGUAAGAUAACCUACAAUGACCCAACAUUUAUAUUUCAAAACUGAAUUGAUGGUGGACACACACAUAUACAUGUAUAUAAAUUUGCUAAUGAUCUUUUUUUCCUUUCUAAUAUUUGUGACAGUUAAAGAGUCAAACACAAAAAGGAAAAAAGCAGACUAUUAUUACCCAGAAACAGAACUUCAACUUCCAUGAAAAUGUGGACCAAAGUGCAACCCAGACAAACACUCCACAACAGGAGCAAAAUGAAGACAAUACAGAGUCAUUGGGAUGCAAAGCAGAUGAUGAAAUUGAAGAACCACCAGCACAAGCACCGGGAUGCGAAGCAGAUGAUGAAAUUGAAGAACAAGCAGUUGACCUUAGCAGAGACUCAAUGACGGAGGGGGACACUGUUAAUGUCCAGCAACAGCAUCCAGACCUUGACAGCCAGGAAGAAGACUUCAACACCAUUUUUGAGGACAUAGUGGGUUCAAUCCCAGAGUACUACAAGCAUGAAAUAGUCCCUACCCAUGAGAAAAUCCAACAGCUGAAAGAAGCAGUCGACUAUUGGAUUGAAAAGGCAGAUACUCGAAGGGAUAUGAUGCAGAGUGCUAUAGAAUCCUGCAUAAAGAAAAAUUCAUUCAUUCAACAAAUAUGGACAGAAAAAGAAGAGUUGGAGAAAGAAAUUGAAAUACUGAAAAAGCAGCUUGAGAAAGAGAAAAAAGAAGGUGCAAAAUUACAAGGGGAACUUCAUGCACUCAAAACAAACAAGAGACAGCUACAGGAACAACAUAAACUACUUGAAGGGGAAAAGUUGUCCUGCAUUGAGAGCAUGAAAGAAAAAGACACUGUUAUUGCCUCUUUGAAACAUGUGAUGGGAACAAAUUUCACACAAGGUGAACAAGGAGAAAUUACAAUGAAAGAACAAGCUGAUAAGGAGAAAAAAGAUGAGAGAAUAGCAGAAGAAAGUGAAUUGGAGGUGCAAGAAACUCCUAAUGAUGAAGAUGAGAAUGCUGAUGAAAAAACUCCUGAAAAGUCAGUUCUCCUGCAAGCGAAAGAAGUAGGAACCAGGCAGUUACGUUCUGGCAUCAAAAUCAUCAAAGACAGAAAAGACAGAAAGCCUGCAAAGAAACCAGAUUACACAUACCCCGAAGCACAUAAGAAAGCCUGAAAAAGAGAAAGCCAAAGCGAAGAUGAAGCACCCAACAAAAAAAAGAAGGAAAAAGAUACAUACCUUCAGUUGCGCAUGUAUGAGGUCUACAACAGGCUGGAUGAAAAAUCAAAGAAGAAUUUGGAAAAUUACUGGAUAUCUGCAUCUGAUUCCGAUGAGUAAGCCAAUCUGUAGUAGAAUUACACUGUUAAUACUAUGUCGUAGAACUGUCAUAGAAUUACACUGUUAAUACUAUGCCGUAGAACUGUCUUGCUAUUAAACUGUUAUGACAUUAUUAUUUGCUGAAUUAUUAUUUAAACAACAUUAUUGUUCAGGGGCGCUUUUUACCUACACAAUAGGACAGUAUUGUACAAACAUAACAUUGAAAAGCUGAUGGGAGAUGAUCCAAUUUCUGCACUAAUCAUCGAUGCUUAUGGAGAGGCACUUAAUGAUGAUGCGAAGCAGAACCCUCAGAAACAAAAAAAUGCAUAUUUGUCCGCCAAUAACUAUGUAAGAUCACAUAUAAUACAUCAAUAUUAUAUCAUCAACAUUGUUACUAAUCACCAACACAUGACUUAUGCAGAUGUUUUUGCGAGGUGCUUCACACAAGCUGACAUAUCAUGCUUUCUAUAUGCCACUCCUAGAAAAUAUUGGAAGCGUUGAUAGAGUGUUCAUACCAAUUACAGAUGAGAACCACCAUACGCUGCUUGUCUUUGACACCGGUGCAGCAAAAUGGACACACUUCAACUCAUUCAGGGGGACAUCAAAACAAACUCUCGAAUAUUAUCACAAGAAGGCAAUUGUUUUGGUAAGUAAAACUGGUGAUUAACACUGUUAAUACAUAGGACACUAAAUUUAAAGGAAACUACGCACAUACUUGACUAUGACUAUGAUGCAGGUUGAGACAGCGAAUAUGUUCCUCUGUCUUCUUAAGGAAUGUGCUGCAGCAUCACUGAAAACAAAACUCGUCCAAAUUCCUGAUUUUGAUGCCAAGAAGCCGAGAGGGCUUAAUGAAGCUUCAGCUAGAAUGAUAGCAAAAAUGCUUGCCAGCAACAAACUUACACCGGAAUAUGCUCAGACAUUGAAGUAUCUGAUUCGUCAUGAUACUACUAACUUCAAGCUGACUGAGAACAGAGAAUGUCCCCAACAAGCAAACAAUUCGUAAGUUAUGCAAUAACAGUGAAACUUUAAUCCUAUUCAACUGAAAAAAAUACUGAACUAACUCCUGCAUGCGUAUCUCUAUUAUGCAGCAAUGAUUGUGGCGUCUUUGUCAUGCACUUCAUGAAGCAGCUUUCCAAAGACCAACAAAUAGAAUCAGAUUUCAACAAAGAAAAGGUCUGGGAAAUGAGAAAAGAAGUUCUCAUGAAAAUUAUGAGCAAUGAAAGAAGUUGGAUUUCCAUCAAAGAAAGAGGAGAGAAAUGCAAAGGAACGAAGUUGUAAUCAAAUAUUUUGCAAAAAUUCUUGCUUAUAUUGUAGUUUCUUAGGACUUGUGUAGGUUUAGAACAUUGAAGUAAAGUGAUUUUCAAAUUCAAGUUAUGUACUUAUUCAAAAAUCAGUUUAUUUACGUGAAUUAACAGUGUAUGUAACCUGAAAUAAUGGUCUCCAUAACACUAAAACAACUAAAAAGGUGAACUCCAACAAAUAACAACGCACUCUCAAUACAAUGUUAAUCCUAUUUGAUAGAAAUAAAUUGUUAAUACCAUGUCAUAGAACUAUCUUUUAAUUUCAACAAUGACAUAAACAGUGGGUAUUAAAACAGUGUUCCUUCAUUUAUAGAUUAUUCAAACAGCAGUAAUGCUUAAUUCAUAUCAAACUUCAAAACCAAAAUUUCCAAAAUACCAAAAAUGGUACAUAUUAUGUAUUAAUACCGAAAAUUCAAACAGUAUUCAUAUGCAGUGACUGCUAUUUCACCGUAUUAACAACUUGCAUAUCAAUUUCUAUUCCUUUCAACUAUGAUUGUCACUAAUCAAUCACAUAGCACUUUAACUAGUUAAAGACUAAUACUCUCAUUCAAGUCUUUAUACUCCAAAACCUUUACAUCAAAUAGGAGCCUUGCAAGUCCUCCUAUUAUGACGAUCACAAGAACCGCAUCUCUUGCACUUCAACUGCCUUGUAGUUUCACUGCUUAACUUGAAGCGAUUUGUCGGAGGUCGUCCCGGAGGCUUUCUUGUAUGCGGAGGUAGAAGAAAAACAUCUCCAGCAGGAGGCUUCUCAAUAUCAGGUAUAGGAAAUAUAGGGGUUGCAUAAGUAGCCCUAUAAAAGUCUGCCUUGUAAUACUCAUCAACAAAGUUAUACAAACAUAACCCGGAAUGUUGGAUAACUUGAAUCGCAUGCUGACACGGAAACCCAAGCAAUUGCCACUGAUAACAGGAGCAAAACCUCUCGUCCAAAUUGACCAUAACACUCAAAUCAGCAUGAACUUCAAAUAUAGAUUCACUCGCGCGACAUAUCCUCCAAUGACGACCCUUUGCAGCUAAAUUCUUCAACUCAUCCUCAAUAACCGGACACAAAACACUACACCAUUUCUCGGAUGCAAGCUUCCUCCUAGAAAUCAUCUCCAUCAUUUUGACCCUAAUAGUGUCAAUCAUCUCAUAAAUUGGAAGCCUACGCACAUCCUUAACCCAUGAAUUAAACGACUCGGACAAGGCAUUACUAACCUCCCCAUACCUCUUUCCCGGAAAAAAUGCAUUAGCAAAAUUUUGGACAGGGAGAUCAGCCAAAAACUUAUCAAUUAUUUUUGAACCGCCAUCAUCUCUUAAUUUUUUCAAAAUAUCUUGAUAUUCCUCAACAGUCGGUGCAUACAACAACUUACAAAAAAGCCAUAAAAUAUGAUCCUUGAAAGAGGAACCAACAGAAUGCGGAUACUUCUUUUUCAAGUUCUCUUUCAAAUGAUAUAGACAAAAACCAUGGGCAGAAGCAGGAAAAACAGUCCUAACAGCAUCGAUAAUAGCACCAUGCCUAUCAGAAAUGAAUGUAAGUUGCCUACCUUCAUCCACCAAAACUUCAGAUAUCCUUGGCAGAAACCACCUCCGAUUGUCAGCAGUUUCACCGGAUACAAUAGCAAAGCAAAAGGGANNNNNNNNNNNNNNNNNNNNNNNNNNNNNNNNNNNNNNNNNNNNNNNNNNNNNNNNNNNNNNNNNNNNNNNNNNNNNNNNNNNNNNNNNNNNNNNNNNNNAAACAGAGAAAUAUAUUAGUUAGUUUGAACAUUGCAAGAGCUAACAGUGUUACCACAUGAAGCAGAGUAAAACUACAAUGCAUAAAAAUACUCAGAUGCAGGGUAUGAACAGUAUAGAAACUGUUCAUACCACUCAAUGGAAGUCAACAAACAGUAUAACAAUUGUUCAUACCACUAACUGGAAGUCAACAACUACAGCAUUUACAUUUGCAUACCUAUACUGUUCAUACUACUCAAUGGAAGUCAACAACUAAAUCAUUUACAUUACAUACCUUUAUUCCCAUUCUUUGCAGUAGCUCCUAGAAGAGUACCCUUGUACUUGUUUGUAACGAAAGUACCAUCAAUAAACAGCAUAGGCCUACACCAUCGAAAACCAUCAAUGGAGGCCUUAUAACAUAUAAAGAUCCGCUGGAAACGAGAACCAUCCUCGCCACAGUCAAGCACACAAUGAGACCCGACAUUGCUGGCCUUCAAAACAUCAACAUACCAAGGCAGGUGAGCAUAAGACAACUCCUCAUCACCAUGUAAAUCCUUAGUAGCUGACUCCUUCCCAUACCACGCAACAUGAUAAGGGACAUCCAAUCCAUAAUUUUCUUUCAAAUCAGUAAUUAGCUCAAUAGGCCUUACCAAAGGAUUGCUACGAACUUUAUCUUUGACAAUUGAAGACACCAAACGAGACCCCAUUGCCUUAUUUCUCUUCUCACGGAUCAAACCACUACAACUGUGUACAUUAUUUAAAUUCUUAAUGUAGAAAAAUCCAUUUACAUUGGACUUAACAGCAUGCACAUUCCACUCACAGCCAUUUGAUUCCUUCUUAGCACACACAGCAGUAACACGACGAGGCUCAUUCUUCAAAUACUUCAUCUUAAAACCAUUCUCAAUCGCGUACUUAGCCAACUUAUCACGGAAUUCACAAACUCCAGCCUCAAACUUCUGACCCUCAUGAGUAAUAUAACCCUCCCAAUCAGUAGACAAAUAUUUACGCCCUCCACAACUACCAUAUUUGCCUAAAUAUUCAUUUCCAAACUCACUGCUAAUACCAUAAAAAUCCAUACUCAAACAAGAAGAAGAAGCAGCACUUGAAUCAACAAUACUACCAGUUUGACUUGAAUCUUUACAUGUAUCCUCAUAUUGUGCAAAACUGUAAUUGUUAGGAGCAGACUCCAACAAAAAAGGAGAAGCAAUCAUGUUCGUAUUAACAGUUUGAACAUGAUUCACUACAGCCUUAUCCCUAACAGCAAUGUGAAUUAAUUGAUCCUUCAUCAGUCCACAUACCAUAAACAUGAUUUUCAAAUCAUCGUCCGAUUCCAACAAACAAUUGGAGCAAUCCAUAAAAGAGUACCUCAACUCAAAAUGACCUAACUUAAGCUUAAACCUACUACACAACUCGUUGGACAACCAAUCAAAAGUAGUAGUUGAAGACAAAAUAAGCAUUAAAGUUCCAGCACCAUAGGUGCACUUCGCCACUCUCGAAUCAUCCAUAUAUAUCUCUACAAAAAAACAACAAACAAAACAAAAAUGACUACUAGUAAUAACAGUGGAUGCCGAGUGCAUUAACAAUGAAUUAUAGUCGACUCAAAAACCAAUAGCGCAUAAACAGAAAAAACACGAAUAUACUCAGAUUCAACUGAAAAAGCAUACCUCAAUUAAAUCGAAUAACACAAAUUUUUCACCACAGCUCAAACCAAAACACAAGAGCAAAUCCACAAUCAAAACGAAUCUGAAAUCAAUCCAAAUUAUAAACAAAAAGAAACGAAAACCUAAUCAGCAACUUAAUUAAUCGAGCAUCAAAUCACCAAAAAGCAGACUACAAUAUAAUCGAAUACCUCCAAAAUCGAAUAUGAAUUCACAAGAAAAAAUCGAAUACCUCAAAAAUCGAAGAUCACAGAUCUCACCAAGCUCCAAUCGAGUCUCAUGCAGCGCAUAUCAAUCCAAAAAUCACCAAAUCAAACAAGAAAGAAAAAGAAAUUGAAGCAAUAGAACUCCAAUCUACGCCAUACUAAGCUCAGAAGAAUCGAAAAAGAAGAUCUGGAACCACAUCAUACUGAGCUUCGUUCGAAGAGGUGAACGAAACUCGUUUCGUUCAAAGAGAUGAACGAAGCUUCCUUCGUUCGAAGAAGUGAACGAAGCUCGCUUGGAAUAUUCGAUCUGCUGAGGCUGCCAAACAGGUUUCUGUUACGAGGUCACCAACGUAAAUUUCAAGAAAUUCCUAUCCUAGGCUGGCGAGUUUUGGGCAUGUUUCAAAAUAUUCGAACCAAGAAGGUCAAAAACGUAAUCUAACAUAGAAAAUAAAAUACAAGAAUAGACAGCUUUCUACAUUGGGUGUGUUUUGGGGUGUGUUUAUAUGUGAUUAAGAUCAUGUAAGGGAUAUUUAUAGUUUCAUGUCUACAUUGGGUGAUUCACUAAUUUUGUANNNNNNNNNNNNNNNNNNNNNNNNNNNNNNNNNNNNNNNNNNNNNNNNNNNNNNNNNNNNNNNNNNNNNNNNNNNNNNNNNNNNNNNNNNNNNNNNNNNNGAAAAAAAAAAAAAUCUUUUUUCCCCCCCUUUUGGGGGGGUUUUAAAAAUUUCUUUUUUUAAAAAAAGUAAACCCCCCCGGGCUUUUUUUUUUUGAACCAAAAUUUUUUGUUUUUUUUUGCCCCCUUUUUUUUUUUUUUCCCCCCCCCCCCCCCCCCCCCCCCCGCGGAACAGUACCCCUGCUAAUUUUCUCUUAAUAAAUAGUAUAGCCGGGCGGCUACACUGGGUUUUUUGAAAAUUUCUUUGCAGAAUAGUAUAGCCGCACGGCUAUACAAUUGAAUAUAAUAUAUUUCAAGCAUAUAGCCGGUCGGCUAUACUGUAUUUUUUUUUUUUGGGUCCUUUUUUGUUUUUCCGAAACAGUACUCUUGCUGAUUUUCUUUUAAUAAAUAGUACAGCCGCACGGCUAUACUGGGGUUUUCGAAAAUUUCUUUGAAGGAUAGUAUAGCCGCACGGCGAUACUAAUAAAAUACAUAGGGUGCUUGGAAGUUGGGCCAGACUAGGUAAUUGGAAGUUGGCCCACACAAGGCAAUUGGAAGUUGGGCCAAGUGGAAGCCAAUUGGGCUUCAAAUUCAACUUGGGCAUUGAAUAUAUAAUAUUUAAUUAUCAAAAAGAUGGCCUUAGGCCUUGGGGUACUUGGGCAUUUAUGAUUUAAAUUAAUUAAUUAGUUUCGAAUUAUUAUUAUAAUUUCUUUUUUAAAAAAAAUUUAAAAUUCGGAUUAGUUUAAUUAAUUUCACUGGGGGGCCUAUUUUGUCUUCAUUUUUAAUUUUAAUAAUAAAUAGUAUAACACAUUGCCGUUUAAUAGUCGUGUUAUACACAUACAUACGUAUUUUUCCACAAUACUUCCAUUUUUCGUACACAAGGAAAACGUACAAUACACGCACGUGCGGAUUUUUCAUGUUUAAUACACGUGUUUUUACAAAAUUGUCAACAAUACACACAAAAUUCACGUAUUAUACACACAAUUUUACAUACUAUUGAAUAAAAAUAAUAUAUAUCGAAAAAUUAUAUAGUGGCCGAACUUUAUGAUCAUUCAUAUGCUUGGUAGUAAGGUAAGUUAGCCCAAGGAAAAAGAAGAAAUCGAUUCAUACCCACUCUUGUAGGGGUUUUUAAAAUCUCUUCUUUUAACAAAUAGUAUAGCCGCACGGCUAUACUAUUAUUGACCCUUUUUUUUCCCGGAACAGUACCCCUG
rnacentral:lncRNA from 1 species